UUUUGGAGAAAACCAAAUUCCUCCUUUGAAAAAACCAGCCCGUGCGCCUAAAAAUUGGAAUUCACGCUGCAGUGUGACCUAUGACAGAAAAGCUCUUGUAAUCAAAGAAAGAUUCUUUUUCCUGGCUCCAUUCACUAUCCAAGAAGCUCACCUGAUAUGUGGGAGGGGCUUAUACAAAAGGCUAAAGAUGGAGGGUUAGAUGCUAUUGAUACUUAUGUAUUUUGGGACCUUCAUGAACCUUCACCUGGAAAUUAUAAUUUUGAGGGAAGAUGUGAUUUAAUAAGGUUCAUCAAGUUGGUACAUGAAGCGGGGCUGUAUCUGCAUCUUCGUAUUGGGCCUUAUAUUUGUGCUGAAUGGAAUUUUGGAAUUUGUUGAGAAGUGCUUCAAGCGAGGGGUAAAUAUGUCCAAAUAAAUGCAAGUAAUUGUUUAAGAUGUGAAAAAGAAAAGGUCAACCCGCCACAUCAGCAACAACUAACGGAAUGGAAACGGAGGGGUUAUUUUGUUACGUUUCGUAGUUCAGGGAGGUGUUUGCGACCAACCCCAUAGUUCAGGGCUGCAAACUGUACUUUCCCCUUAUUAUUAUUAUUAUAAUAAUAAUAAUAAUUAUUAUUAUUAU